UGGGGAAGCCGGUGAGGCUGAGCUCUGGGAAUGAGAAUCGGUGUGGUAUGUAGCCAGCAGAUUGGACCUUUCCUGAAUCAGAUCUGCACAGGGUACACAUUAGACCUUCCAUAGAGCUCCUGUACCUCUGGAUGGGUUGGCCAUCCGAAGGAAGACACAGAAGACAGGUAUUAGCAGAUUGCCCGCCCUUUCACACCCACCUGCCUCCCUCACCACGCUAGGUGUCCAGGAGCCUGGGAAUCAAGCACUUGUCCUUGGGGAGGGGAAGGGGCAGCCUCCAGAUCCCUCUUGGGGGUGUGGUCUCUGGAGACUGCAUCCUCAGUCUGUUGGUUGGGACUACAGGCUCCCCCCUUAUUUUUCAGAUGAGCGUUCUAAGGGGAAGGGGGAUGGUGACCCUCUGACCUCCAGGCUGUUACCCCUUCACAUUCCAGAGAAACCCCUGGGAAGGAGCUUUAAGGAGCGAGGACUCCAGAAACCACAGAUAAAGAUGUAGCUGGGAGGCAGCUUGGGCCUUAAAAGAUUCUGGGGUCCUCUGGGCACUCUCGGGGGGAGUUCAGCCAAGCUCAGAGAGGCCCGAUUCAUGUCCUGAGUCUAGGACCGAGAUGUGGGUGCCUGGCCCUGGAGGGAGGGGGCCACCGGCAAAAGGGUCAGGCUGAGAGAGCAGGCGGGGCAUCGGGAGUGGAGGGUGCUGAGUGGGGGUGGGAGGGCGCAGGGUCCGGCCGGUGCAGGGGGGGCGGCCCCCAGGGAGGGGCAUGCUAUGUCUUUAAGAGCUGCCUGAGCGCAGGUUGCAGCUGCCUGGCCAGACCGAAAGACAGCGGAGAUUCAUUACCCGUCGACACAAUGACCAUUGAUGGCCCCGUGGCGUUAUUCAAAUCCAGUACCAAUUGCAGCCGAGCCCCUUUCUCCGCGCCAGGCCCGUAUUGUUGGAGCGGCCCACUAAAAGCCCGCCCCGGCCCCGAGCCGCCAGAGGCGCCCGCUCGGGUUCAGCCCUGCGCCUCGCCAGCACGCCGGCUCCCGGUCAGGCUCCCUGGGAGCUGCAGGUGACCCGGCGGCGCAUUCCGGUGCUCCCCGCCGCCCGGGCUACCGCCACCCGCGACUCAGCCACAAGGAAGCAGAGAGCGCCCGAGCCGCCGUAACGAAUCUGGCACACAGCGGCGGGACCCGAAUGUGGUUCGUGCAGCCGGUCCUUGGCCAGAGCCGCAGUUAGUCGGGGUGAAGGCAGACGCCAGCAGAAUUCGUUCGCUAACUCGUUUUGAAUUUGUUCUAACCUGUCCCCUAACCAGUACUCCCAAACAACAGCAACAAAAAAAAUCCGAAAUCAACCCGUAUAUCCCAAAUCAGCCAACCAACCCCUCCCACAAGCUCCUCUGGACCGACUGAUGGGCUGAGCCUCCCACCGCUGCCAGAAACCGAGAAGCUGGGGAAUGAUGCGCUCUAGCCGGGCAACCGCCUCGGUUUUGGAAAUAAGAACUUGGACAAACGAGUCCUCAUUAAAGAAAAAUCUUCAGAGGUA